rnacentral:lncRNA from 1 species
CUCACAAGAUCUGAUGGGUUUAUAAGGGGUGUCUGCCUUUGCUUCUUCCUCAUUUUCUCUUGCUGCUGCCAUGUAAGAAGAACUUUUCACCUCCUGCCAUGAUUCUGAGGCCUCCCCAGCCAUGUGGAAGUAGUCAUAAUGGUGAAGAGGAUGGUGACAUCCAAGGACAACCACAGGGCCUCUCUCCUGACACUGGUGAGAACCAGAUUCCUUUCCCUGGUUCUGUAGCUCCCAGCAGAGUUUUGGAAGCUGAUUAAAGAGAAUGUUGGAAAUAACAGGCAAUUAGAAACCUUAUUAAAAAAAGGAAAAACACUCUCAUCAAACUUGCCAAAGCGUCUUAAUGGCUGGAUGUGGAGGAGGCAUUGGAAACUGCUGGCUGCAAGGGUCACUUGUGCCAGAGGGUGGCCUGGAAGCUGAGGAAAGUGUGGAGAGGGACUGGGGCCAGUUCCCAGGGACAGAGAGUGCAAGGGGACUGUUUAGGAAGUUAUUUCCGAGUUGAUGCGCCCAGUGAGUAUAAAGUGAAAGAAGGCCAUUUACAAGUCCUAAGAAAACCACAGCUGGUGAAACUGGUGGCAAAAGGACCAAAGGAAAAGAAAGGGACACACACACCCAUACACACACCUAUACACAGAAGAGACAGAGCCCACCACCAAGAGAGGCAGAGUGGAGUGCAUUUCCCCACUGGCCAGUUCCUCGACUGCUCAGAAUAUGCCACAACGGGUAGUUGGAAGGAGAUCAGCAGAGAUGAGGGUUCAGAUAAUCGAUGCAACUCACUGCUUUAGGGUUCCUCACCUCCUGCAGUCCCUAGGGACCACCCCCAGCAUGGCAGAGCUUGUGGGAGGUAAUUUGAAUGGCCAUGUGUGGGCUGAGUGCGGGUUU